UCAGCUUAGUUAACCCUUCCCCUGGGCUGAGUUCUAUUUCAGCUUGGUUAAACCUUCCCCUGGGCUGAGUUCUAUUUCAGCUUGGUUAACCCUUCCCCUGGGCUGAGUUCUAUUUCAGCUUGUGUUUCCAGACACAGACAGGGAGGUCCCUACAGGGUCAGAUGGACAGGGAGGUCCCUACGGGGUCAGAUGGACAGGGAGGUCCCUACAGGGUCAGAUGGACAGGGAGGUCCCUACAGGGUCAGAUGGACAGGGAGGUCCCUACAGGGUCAGAUGGACAGGGAGGUUCCUACAGGGUCAGAACAGACAGGGAGGUCCCCCCUCUCUCUCUCAACCCCCCUCUCUCUCUCGCUCAACCCCCCCUCUCUCAACCCUCUCUCUCUCUCUCUCUCUCUCUCUCUCUCUCAACCCCCUCUCUCUCACCCCACCU